UCCUCUGAGGGUUUGAUCCUGGCUCAGGGUGAACGCUGGCGGCGUGCCUAACACAUGCAAGUCGUGCGACGAACUUGGAAGGUUUUAUUUUCGGAUAGAACUUUCCGGGGGAAAGCGGCGGACGGGUGAGUAACACUUGAGUAACCUCCCCCUUGGACUGGGAUAAUUCGCCGAAAGGCGAACUAAUACCAGAUAACCUUUUUCAGUGGACGCACAGGAAAAGAAAAGGUCUGUGAAUAACAGACUGCCGAGGGAUGGGCUCGAGUCCUAUCAGCUA
rnacentral:rRNA from 1 species